GUAGGAUCGCUCCUGUGUAGGGCGUCUGACAACCCCUGUUGGAGGGUCUCACCCAGGUUGGGGCAGGGUUUCCUCAAUCUUCACCCCAAGAAUCUGGUGAAAUUCCUGAAGGUAAAAUUCAUGAAAGUGUGGAGAUCCACCCUAAAGUGAGGCACCCGAAGUUUUAUCUCUCAAGCUGAUUUACAUUAAGUCUCCAGCAAUUAGUCAAUUUUCCUUAAAUACUCCUACCUGUCUCUAGCAGCAACUUCUGCUCCAGAUCCUUUGGCAGCCCUUCUCAAGGACCUCUGUGAGACAAAAGCAGAAAUGGCUUCCCUGGGGACCAAGAGAGCCCA